UACGUAGGGGGCAAGCGUUGUCCGGAAUCAUUGGGCGUAAAGAGCGUGUAGGCGGCUCGAUAAGUCUGCUGUGAAAGUCCAGGGCUCAACCCUGGAAGGCCGGUGGAAACUGUCGGGCUAGAGUCCGGAAGAGGCGAGUGGAAUUCCCGGUGUAGCGGUGAAAUGCGCAGAUAUCGGGAGGAACACCAAUGGCGAAGGCGGCUCUCUGGGACGGUACUGACGCUGAGACGCGAAAGCGUGGGGAGCAAACAGG
rnacentral:rRNA from 1 species